rnacentral:rRNA from 1 species
UUAUCGUUUAUUUGAUAUUGCCUGUCCUACAUGGAUAACAGUGGUAAUUCUAGAGCUAAUACACGCUGAAAAUCCCGACUUCGGAAGGGACGUAUUUAUUAGAAUCAGAACCAAUGCCCUUCUGGGUUUUCUGGUGACUCAUGAUAACUCCACAGAUCGCAUGGCCUUGCGCCGGCGAUGGCUCAUUCAAAUUUCUUCCCUAUCAACUUUCGACGGUACGGUCUUGGCCUACCGUGGUUGUAACGGGUGACGGAGGGUUAGGGCUCGACCCCGGAGAAGGAGCCUGAGAAACGGCUACUACAUCCAAGGAAGGCAGCAGGCGCGCAAAUUAUCCAAUCCCGACACGGGGAGAUAGUGACAAUAAAUACCGAUACAGGGCUCUUUUGGGCCCUGUAAUUGGAAUGAGUACAAUUUAAACCUCUUAACGAGGAACAAUUGGAGGGCAAGUCUGGUGCCAGCAGCCGCGGUAAUUCCAGCUCCAAUAGCGUAUAUUAAAGUUGUUGUGGUUAAAAAGCUCGUAGUCGAACCUCGAAACUGGCCGGCCGGUCCGCCUCACCGCGUGCACUGGUCUGGCCGGAUUCUUCCCUCUGCGGAACCGCAUGUCCUUCACUGGGCGUGUCGGGGAGGCAGGACUUUUACUUUGAAAAAAUUAGAGUGCUCAAGGCAGGCCAAUGCUCGGAUACAUUAGCAUGGAAUAAUAGAAUAGGACGUUGGUUCUAUUUUGUUGGUUUCUAGGACCGCCGUAAUGAUCAAUAGGGACGGUCGGGGGCAUCAGUAUUCAGCCGUCAGAGGUGAAAUUCUUGGACCGGCUG